GCGCCGAUGGUCAAGUGGUUACGAUGCGAUCCUCCCAUAUUAUCCGGACUAGAUCGCGACCCGGGUUCGAAUCCCGGUCGGCGCA